CUCCAGUAUAGAUAGUCAACAUGUUGAAACAAGCCUGUCUUAUAACUUUGCUGGUUUGUGUAUCGUCUCAGCUUUUCGGACAUCGCGAGCGUCCGGAACAUUCAUCAUUAAUGUUCUACUACGACCCGAUAUCGCACUACCUUGUUGGACGGACACACUCCAGUUGUUACUUCAUGAGCUUAAGCGAUGACGAUAAGUCUAAAGUCCACACAACUAUUGGACUAGAACAAGUUGAGGUAUAGUAUCACAUGGAUGCGUAUCGAGAAGUUAUGGAAAAAAGACCACUAUCUGUUUCUCUUCUAGAGUUGCGUCUUUGCUAGCGAAGGCUUCUGAUGGAGUUACACUCCACAAACCCUUGACAGAUAUAGUCGUGUUCAAAGCGCCCCGCCCUGGAAUCCCAGGGCUCUAAUCCGACCGCAUCCUACAUUCAGGCUUGAACGCUCGUUUCGAUUGGUUGAACAUUUCAUGCGUAGCGGGCGGUAAUUUAUAAACAGAAAUACUAUAUCUCCAAAACAGAGCAAUUAUGACAAAUUCAAAACAGAAAAGGCUGUUACUUUUUAUAGAAAUUAUCAGUUACACCUUUUACAUUAUCACCAACCUCCAAAAUUUGGGACACGGGAAUGUAAC